GACGAACGCUGGCGGCAUGCCUAACACAUGCAAGUCGAACGAGACCGUUCGGGUCUAGUGGUCGCACGGGUGCGUAAACGCGUGGGAAUCUGCCCUUAGGUACGGAAUAACUCAGGGAACUUGUGCUAAUACCGUAUGAUGUCUUCGGACCAAAGAUUUAUCGCCUAGGGAUCGAGCCCGCGUUGGAUUAGCUAGUUGGUGGGUAAAGGCCUACCGAAGGCGACGAUCCAUAGCUGGUCUGAGAGGAUGAUCAGCCACACUGGGACUGAGACACGGCCCAGACUCCUACGGGAGGCAGCAGUGGGAAUAUUGGACAAUGGGCAAAGCCUGAUCCAGCAAUGCCGCGUGAGUGAAGAAGGCCUUAGGGUUGUAAAGCU
rnacentral:rRNA from 1 species